rnacentral:rRNA from 1 species
CACGUAGGGCGCAAGCGUUGUCCGGAAUUAUUGGGCGUAAAGAGCUCGUAGGCGGUCUGUUGCGUCCGCUGUGAAAACCCGGGGCUUAACCCUGGGCUGGCAGUGGAUACGGACAGACUAGAGUUAGGUAGGGGAGAAUGGAAUUCCCGGUGUAGCGGUGAAAUGCGCAGAUAUCAGGAAGAACACCCGUGGCGAAGGCGGCUCUCUGGGACGGUACUGACGCUGAGACGCGAAAGCGUGGGGAGCGAACAGG